UGUGUGUUGCUGGCAGGCUCCGUUAGGAUUCCACUUCUUUUGUGGGGGAGUGGACGAGUCUGUCCCUUGCCUAAGGGAGAUGUCAAUGGAUCUGGCUACUGGCAGCUGCUGCCUGCUUUGGGAGCCUGUAACUGCAUUCAGAUGUCAUCUCCAAGUUUUCCUUAGCACGCAUGGAGGCUAGAAAAUGGCUUUUUAUUAAUAAAAAUUACGCAUUUCCC
rnacentral:lncRNA from 12 species